rnacentral:misc_RNA from 1 species
AAGUCGUAACAAGGUUUCCGUAGGUGAACCUGCGGAAGGAUCAUUAUCACGUAUCCACGUAUAAACCAUUGUGAACCGUCAUUAACCUCUUCAAGAGUCUUUCUGCGACAAUGUUUUGAGAAGCAAUUCCCAAGCACCGGAACAGAUUUACUUCUUGUGGAGUGUAUUCAACCCAUCAACCAUUUUAACCAAUCCUUAUAACUUUAUGAACUAACUUUAUUUUAUACUCUUCGGAGAUAAAAUUCAUUACGAAACAAAGAACAACUCUUAGCAACGGAUAUCUUGGUUCUC